rnacentral:snRNA from 1 species
AUACUUACCUGGCAGGGGUGAUCACAAAGGUGGUUUCCUCAGGGUAGGCUUUAUCCAUUGCACUCCUGAUAGGUCAACCCCUGAGAUUUCCACCAAAGUGGGAAACUUGACUGAAUAAGUUAUGGUAGUUGGGGACUGUGUUUGUGCUCUCCUCAG